UACGGAGGGUGCAAGCGUUGUCCGGAUUCAUUGGGUUUAAAGGGUGCGUAGGCGGUACGUUAAGUCAGUGGUGAAAUCCUGGGGCUCAACCCCGGAAUUGCCAUAGAUACUGGCGUGCUUGAGUUCGACCGAGGCGGUUGGAAUGCGUGGUGUAGCGGUGAAAUGCUUAGAUAUCACGCGGAACACCGAUUGCGAAGGCAGAUCGCUAGGUCGCGACUGACGCUGAGGCACGAAAGUGCGGGGAUCAAACAGG
rnacentral:ncRNA from 2 species